rnacentral:rRNA from 1 species
UGGGGACUAUUGCACAAUGGGCGCAAGCCUGAUGCAGCCAUGCCGCGUGUAUGAAGAAGGCCUUCGGGUUGUAAAGUACUUUCAGCGGGGAGGAAGGGAGUAAAGUUAAUACCUUUGCUCAUUGACGUUACCCGCAGAAGAAGCACCGGCUAACUCCGUGCCAGCAGCCGCGGUAAUACGGAGGGUGCAAGCGUUAAUCGGAAUUACUGGGCGUAAAGCGCACGCAGGCGGUCUGUCAAGUCGGAUGUGAAAUCCCCGGGCUCAACCUGGGAACUGCAUUCGAAACUGGCAGGCUAGAGUCUUGUAGAGGGGGGUAGAAUUCCAGGUGUAGCGGUGAAAUGCGUAGAGAUCUGGAGGAAUACCGGUGGCGAAGGCGGCCCCCUGGACAAAGACUGACGCUCAGGUGCGAAAGCGUGGGGAGCAAACAGG